UACGGAGGGGGCUAGCGUUGUUCGGAAUUACUGGGCGUAAAGCGCGUGUAGGCGGCUAUGCAAGUCGGAUGUGAAAGCCCUCGGCUCAACCGGGGAAGUGCACCCGAAACUGCAAAGCUAGAGUCUCGGAGAGGAUCGUGGAAUCUCGGUGUAGAGGUGAAAUUCGUAAGAUAUCGAGAGGAACACCGGUGGCGAAGGCGGC
rnacentral:rRNA from 1 species